GCAUACAAGCGAGAUGUAGGAGUACAUCUCACUAAACGUGAUCAAUUGCUAAACACUCUGCUAUCAAGAGUAGCUCACAAAGGAUAUGGAUAUAAGUGUCUCUCCGAUCUGAGAUCACCAUGGUGAUUUGUAAGCAACUCACUAUACUUUGAUGUCGGACCACCUGAAUUUUUAAUUUCGUGAUGAAAAAUUUUUAGGCACAAUCAAUUACUUGCGAAGUCGGUGUGUGAGUCAAGAUGAAAUUGAUCUCUUCGAGUAAGUAGGAGUUAAUAUAUCAGUGUGUUUUAAUUCAGUAAAACUUUGACCGGGG
rnacentral:lncRNA from 1 species